GUGUAAUAAUGAAAUUGAAGCCUGUUGGGUUGCAUCACCUCUUCCGAAUUCCACUUCUGCAACCACUCAUAAGUCACCGUUCAUCCUUUCACUAACCCUAGAUCCUUUUCGUUUCAAAUCAAAUCCACUUUUUCUCUACUUAGGUCUCUCUCUCUCUCAAAGUUCUGGAGCACUCCUCUCCAUCGAUUUCUCAAUUCUUGUGUGUCCCUCUCAUUCGAUCUCUCAAAUCCAUGACCCCAUCUAGUGACGAUAUGGUGUGUAGUGGUAAAAUUUGCUCCCUAGGGUUUCAGUGGUAGGAUUCUCGAGCAGAUCCGUGGCAACUGAGACGAGAUCCCGGUGGUAGAUGGCUGUUGAGGUAGGUUUCGACAACCCGGUUCCAAUUUAUCAGCUGCAUGUACGUUUUCUGACAACCGAGCGACUAUAAUGAUGAUUCCGACAACUUGGGUAGUGGUUUGCGACGACAACAAUGACUACCUGCGGUGGAGGUGAACUUCAGCCGCUAAACAACGGUGGUCUAUGGUGGUGGUUGUAUACUUCGGCCGCCAAAAUCGUCUUGUGUUGAAGUGGAGCAAAAAAUCUCUGAUCUCUAAGAUUACAGGGCCCUAAACUGCCAAACAAAUUUCAAAGCUCAUGAUUAGAUAGAUAGGUCUCAAAACGAAAGGGGGGGAAACCGAUAGAAAUCAAAGUAUGAGCAUAUAUUGAUUGUUCAAUCGAAAUGCAAACAAUUUUACAAUGUCUUAGUGUUGUUGAUUGCGAAAGGUAAAUUGUUUUCCGGUUUGUUAUUGUUUAAAUGUCACCAUCUGUUGGUUUUUAUAUACUUUUUUCUAAGUGUGUUUGGUUGAUUGAAUAGACUGGAUUUAGAGUUUGGGCAAAGGGGUUGUUUUUGUGAUUUUUUUUAUUAUGUAAUUUUAUAAUAUGAUUUGAAGUUGCUAAGUUCAAUGCAAAUUUUGGGGUGUAAAUUAGCUAAAUUGUCAUUUGGAAUGGUCUAUUUGGCGAUUGCUUAUUCGGAUUGAUUUUCUGCUUAUUGUGUUUUGUUGCAGUAAUAACAUGUUUUGAGGGCGUUUGGAUUGGUUAAAUUAAACUUUUUUAUGUGAUUAGUUGUGCAGUGAAACCAUAGCUGAGGUAAGAUAUAUUUGUUUAUCGUUCUUUGGAACCCUAACUGUCAGCACAUGUUUGUUUUGUUUCGGAUGGUGUGGUGUCUGAUGCGAGCAAAAUGAAGGCAGCCGCCUCUGCCAAGAGAGGAAGUAAAGCCUCCACCGCCGCUACUUCAGCUAAGGUGGUCCAGAUGCUAUGUCAACUAACUAUUUCGAAGGUUGUUGUUGUCUAAUAGAGAGGUUGCAAGGUAGGUUCGGUUACAGGUUUGGUAUUCUUUUUUUGCAAUAGAUUUCUGUUACCUAUGUUAGGUUGAUCUCAGCUGGUGCCCUUGCCCCGCAUGACUUGUGCAUGUAUCCUCCCCUGACAACCACCAUCUUUAAUCUAACUACUUAUAAGCACAAGUUAAAUUAAUACACAAUAAUCAUUAAGUAGGUACUAAUAAUUAUUUCACACGGUUGAAAGUUCUGCCCUUGAAUUUAAAGGAUCUGAAAGUGUAAGAACUCUUGUCGCUAUUGUGGUAUGAAUGCUUCCAAAGUUCCUAUCAUAACCAUUACCUUCAAUUUUUUUUCUUAAUUCAUUACUAUAGAUGGUGGCAUUGCAGCAGAGAACCAAGCUAAGUUGGUUUUUAUUUUUAUUUUAGUUAUUAUUAUUUACUUGUGAAAAUUAUUUUUCUAUACACAUUUGACUUUUCUUUAAAAAGAACAAACUAGAGUACCAAAUAAGUCCAGUAACUUGGGUUUUCAGAAUCCUGAGUUCUUAGGGAAGUCCCAAAGGUCUCUAAAAUUUUUGACACAGGUGAACAUAGAUUGAGCUACAUUGUAUUUUGUGGGUAUAAAAUUGGGCUUGCGGGGUAUAACAUUGGGCUUGCUUGGUUUUUGUUAUUACGUCGAAACACCCGGAUUGUGGAUGGGUAUAAAAUUAUUUGUACCUAAUAGAUAAGUAACCGGUUACAACGUGUGCAACAAUUCUAUGAACUGAUGAUUCAUUUUCCCGCUUUUUUAUGUCUAUCCUAUUUCUUAAUAGAAAAGUUAACUAAAAAUAUUUCUUAAAUUUUCAUUAAUAACUAUUUACUUACUCAACCCGUGUAUUACACGAGUACCUAACCUUGUUUAUAAUGUAUUAAAAACUUAAUAUCAAAUUAUUAAUCAUUCCUUAAACGUUAUAACUGAUUAAAUUGAUUAAUGUCUUGAUGUUGUUUUAUUAGGAUAACGAUACAUACGAUGAGCUACUUUUGGACAUUUCUGAUCCAGACAAGGGUGAUCCACUUGCUGUGGCCUGUGGUGGAGCCGACUCAGUUACACGGGACAACAUGGUCAGAUUAUCAACCCGAAUGCUCGAUAACUAUGAAAAUUUAUCCACACAUGUUGUCGUGCAUUAGAAACUUACAUAAGAAAUCUUGUAUGUGAUAGAUAGUUGAGUUUGAAUAGUUAGCAAUCUAAUGUAAGGUUAAGAGUACAUUAUUAGGUUAACAUUAUGUCUUCUUUAUGUAAUGUGCACGGUGUCUUAUGAUGAUACAUUCUUAAUAAAUACUUAAAUACAUU
rnacentral:lncRNA from 1 species